AUGAGGCUCCCUGAUCAGCUCUUGGGGCUGCUAAUGCUCUGGCUCCCUGGAUCCAGUGGGGAUAUUGCGAUGACCUUGACUCCACUCUCCCUGCCCGUCACCCCUGGAGAGCUGGCCUCCAUCUCCUGCAAAUCUAGUCAGAGCCUCUUGGGUAGUGAUGACAAAAACAUCUAUUUGGAUUGGUACCUGCAGAAGCCAGGCCAGUCUCCACAGCUCCUGAUCUAUGAUGUUUCAAGCUGGGCCUCUGGAGUCCCAGACAGGUUCAGUGGCAGUGGGUCAGGCACUGAUUUCACACUGAAAAUCAGCCUGGUGGUGGCUGAGGAGGUUGGGGUGUAUUACUGCAUGCAACAUACAGAGUUUCCUUCAACAGUGGUGCAUCCUGGAACAGAAAGCUCCCUGCUGGGGUGUCCCAGCUGCUCACAUAUGCUUUUUAUCUGGGGAGCAGCUUAG